rnacentral:snoRNA from 1 species
AGCACUUGUGUUUGUUUUUGUUAAGCUGUGAGCAAAGACUUAUAGACAGGUACAAAAUAAACCCUCUUUUGCAACCCAGAACUCAUUGUUUAGUAUGAGUUUUGAUACAGGUAAGAAGGAACAUG